ensembl:lncRNA
GAACUUCCCACCUCCCUCAUCCACCACAGAACUAACCUGUGAGCUAGCUUUUUGUUGUUCAGGGAUAGAAAAGUUCACAAAUUGUAGAGGAGAGUCUGUGUGACACAACGAUGGUAGGUGGGUUAACCCAAGACAGCGCUUAAGAUCAGCCCAGAGAAGUAACCACAAAGCACAGGAAGUCAUGGCUCCCAGAAGGCUAUCUGGAUCGCCUUCGGGAAGGUUCCAGCAGUGAAGCAGUCGGCAAUAUGGGCUUCAGAAACUUCGGCACAGCUCCGGCCGGUAUUCCCAGAGGACAAAACUCUUGUCAUCUGCCCCAUUUUACAUAGCAACAAUGGCAGGAGCUGCAAGCAGAAGCUUCUCCUAUGUCCUCUUUAUUUGUAUCAGCUAAAUAAAGAAUGACACUGAAUAAAGAUAUGGAGAAAGAAAAGGAAGAUGGAUAGGAGAAAAUAACAGAGAAACCAAGAUUCACCUUCUUCCUGUCCUAGCUCUUCCACUGAAUGACUGACAACACAAUGCUGAAGGUGAAACCCCAAUACUUGGUCACCUGAUGUGAAGAACUGACUCAUUUGUAAGGACCCUGAUGCUGGGAGAUUGAAGGCAGGAGGAAAAGGGAAUGGCAGAGGAUGAGAUGGUUGGAUGGCAUCACUGACUCAAUAGACAUGAGUUUGAGUAAAUUCUGGGUGUUGGUGACGGACAGGGAAGCCUGGCAUGCUGUGGUCCAUGGUGUCACAAAGAGUAGGACAUGACUGAGCAACUGAACUGAGACAAUGCAAACUUUUAGGAAUCCAUAAGUAUUGCUAGGUUAGUAUGUUUAAUAUGGUAUUUAACUUACUCAUUACAACUAUUACAACAUUACAACUAGUACUAGACACAGUUGGGACACGCCAGAUCAAAAUCUGUUCUCUCCUUGUGGGUUAAUCACUCAGUCAUGUCCUACUCUUUGCAACGCCAUGGACUUUAGCCUGCCAGGUUCCUCUAUCCAUGUAAUUGUCUAGUCAAGAAUAUUGGAGUGGGUUUCCAUGCCCUCCUCCAAGGGAUCUUCCUAACCCAGGGAUUGAACCCAUGUCUCCUGCUUUGCAGGCAGAUUUUUCACUAGUGGCUCAGAGGUUAAAGCCUCUGCCUGCAAUGCAGGAGACCCAGGUUCCCUCUCUGAGCUGGGAAGAUCUCCUGGAGAAGAAAAUGGCAACCCACUCCAGUAUUCUUUCCUGGAGAAUCCCAUGGAGGGAAUAGCCUGGUAGGCUACAGUCCACAGGGUCGCAAAGAGUCGGACACAACUGAGCUACUUCACUUUCACCAGUAUAACAUUCCUCCCAUCAUGAAUUGUGUGCUAUUUUUCAUGCAAAGAGGUAAGAAAUUAGAGGGAUUGCCUUACCUACAUAGAUCUGGUGUUAUCUUGCAUGACUCUGCUGCUAGAUUAUCACGUUUUGGCAGAUGGCAGAUUAUUGUCAAAUAGCAUAGAAAUAAAAAGAUUAUUGGAUAGUAUUGGUGGAAAUUUGUAUGUAAGUGAGAUGAUGCUUAAUCAUUUUAAUAAAGAUGAAUUUGCAGUUCAUCCCAUUUCAUAAUUUACAGACCCAGCUGUGUUCUUCCCUUGGUCUUCUGUGUAAUUAAAUGGGCAAACCGCAUAUUGAAG